rnacentral:rRNA from 1 species
UACGUAGGGUGCGAGCGUUGUCCGGAAUUACUGGGCGUAAAGCGCACGUAGGCGGUCUUUUAAGUCGGGGGUGAAAUCCUGGAGCUCAACUCCAGAACUGCCUUCGAUACUGGAAGACUUGAGUCCGGGAGAGGUGAGUGGAACUGCGAGUGUAGAGGUGAAAUUCGUAGAUAUUCGCAAGAACACCAGUGGCGAAGGCGGCUCACUGGCCCGGUACUGACGCUGAGGUGCGAAAGCGUGGGAGCAACAGGG